rnacentral:rRNA from 1 species
GCCUACGGGACGCAGCAGUGGGGAAUAUUGCACAAUGGGGGAAACCCUGAUGCAGCAACGCCGCGUGAGUGAAGAAGUAUUUCGGUAUGUAAAGCUCUAUCAGCAGGGAAGAAGAUGACGGUACCUGAUUAAGAAGCCCCGGCUAACUCCGUGCCAGCAGCCGCGGUAAUACGUAGGGGGCAAGCGUUAUCCGGAUUUACUGGGUGUAAAGGGAGCGCAGACGGCAGUGCAAGUCUGGAGUGAAAGCCCGUGGCCCAACCCCGGAACUGCUCUGGAAACUGUCCGGCUUGAGCACUGGCGGGGCG